UACGGGGGGGGCAAGCGUUGUUCGGAUUUACUGGGUGUAAAGGGCGCGUAGGCGGUCAGCACAAGUCAGUUGUGAAAUCUCCGGGCUUAACUCGGAAAGGUCAACUGAUACUGUGCGACUAGAGUGCGGAAGGGGCAACUGGAAUUCUCGGUGUAGCGGUGAAAUGCGUAGAUAUCGAGAGGAACACCUGCGGCGAAGGCGGGUUGCUGGGCCGACACUGACGCUGAUGCGCGAAAGCCAGGGGAGCGAACGGG
rnacentral:rRNA from 1 species